UCUUAUUACGUGCAAAGUCAUUCUUUGAAAUGCGUGUUUUAUUUUCUAUUCUGUAAAUAUUAAUUAUUUUUUCUGUAGUGCUCGUUAUUGUAUGAGGUAUGAACUCAAUGAUUAAUCGACGUCCGUUCGUAAGUAAGUAAGGAGAAACCUUUCAGAUUCAAGGAUCUGUGCAUCGUCAACCAUCGGAAUUGCGGACCGAUAAUCGCAGAGAAUUUAAGGAACCAAGUGUGAAUUCUGUAUUUCGAGACGAUUUGUGUAUUCCUGUUUUGGCUUUGUAUCGUGUGAUUGUACAUGAUUUGAUACAACAAUAACGAACCAUUUUGUUUUCACUUAGAAUUUGUCACUUAUAACACCUCCCAUGCGUCAUGAAACCACAGAACAAAUGCUUCAGUCAAAGGUAUAUGUACACUGAGAUCUUGGAUCGCGUCUUUUACAUUACCUAAGUGGCAACGUUAGCAGCAUUGACAUUAGAAUACAUAGACGGAGCCCUAGCUAUCGAAGAAGGUGAGUGGGAGCCUGAUAUUCGCGGUAAGGGGGAACUGGGGGAACUGCAUGAACUUCGGUCGAAUUCGGUUACGUUCGGCUAACGUUCGGCUAAUGGUUCAGUUGACGGAGCUCCUGCUCACAUGUUGUGCUUGUGCUUAUUGUAUUGAUAUCUAAAGUGAUUAUGACCUUUUGGAUUUCUAUCAGUGACAUGAGUUUUGUGUAUUUGGCUGCAAUAAUCGUAUAAAUAAUAAAAA